GACGAACGCUGGCGGCGUGCUUAACACAUGCAAGUCGAACGGAAAGGCCCUGCUUUUGUUGGGUGCUCGAGUGGCGAACGGGUGAGUAACAAGUGAGUAACCUGCCCUUGACUUUGGGAUAACUUCAGGAAACUGUGGCUAAUACCGGAUAGGAGCUCCUGCUGCAUGGUGGGGGUUGGAAAGUUUCGGCGGUUGGGGAUGGACUCGCGGCUUAUCAGCUUGUUGGUGGGGUAGUGGCUUACCAAGGCUUUGAUGGGUAGCCGGCUUGAGAGGGUGACCGGCAACAUUGGGACUGAGAUCCGGCCAGGACUCCUACGGGAGGCAGAAGUGGGGAAUAUUGAACAAGGGGCGGAAGCCUGAUGCAGCACCGCCGCGUGCGGGAUGACGGCCUUCGGGUUGUAACCCGCUUUCGCAUGUGACGAAGCGUGAGUGACGGUACUGGGUAAAGAAGCACCGGCUAACUACGUG
rnacentral:rRNA from 1 species